rnacentral:rRNA from 1 species
CGUGCCUAACACAUGCAAGUCGAGCGGUAGCAGGUCUAGUUUACUAGAUGCUGACAAGCGGCGGACGGGUGAGUAACGCGUGGGAACGUGCCCUUUGGUACGGAAUAGCCCCGGGAAACUGGGAGUAAUACCGUAUGUGCCCUUCGGGGGAAAGAUUUAUCGCCAAAGGAUCGGCCCGCGUUGGAUUAGGUAGUUGGUGGGGUAAUGGCCUACCAAGCCGACGAUCCAUAGCUGGUUUGAGAGGAUGAUCAGCCACACUGGGACUGAGACACGGCCCAGACUCCUACGGGAGGCAGCAGUGGGGAAUCUUAGACAAUGGGGGAAACCCUGAUCUAGCCAUGCCGCGUGAUCGAUGAAGGCCUUAGGGUUGUAAAGAUCUUUCAGUGGGGAAGAUAAUGACUGUACCCACAGAAGAAGCCCCGGCUAACUCCGUGCCAGCCGCCGCUGUAA